rnacentral:rRNA from 1 species
GACAGAGGGUGCGAGCGUUAAUCGGAAUUACUGGGCGUAAAGAGCGUGUAGGUGGUUGAAUAUGUCAGGUGUGAAAUCCUCGGGCUUAACCUGAGUUGGUCAUUUGAAACUAUUUAACUAGAGUACAGGAGAGGGAAGUGGAAUUUCCGGAGGAGCGGUGGAAUGCGUAGAUACCGGAAGGAACACCAGUGGCGAAGGCGGCUUCCUGGCCUGAUACUGACACUGAGACGCGAAAGCGUGGGGAGCGAACAGG